GGCUGCGCUCACCAUGGCCUGGACCCCUGUGCUCCUCGUGCUCCUCGCUCACUGCACAGGGUCCCUCUCCCAGCCUGUGCUGACUCAGCCGCCCUCCCUCUCUGCAUCUCUGGGAGCCACAGCCAGACUCACCUGCACCCUGAGCAGUGACGCCAGUGUUGGUGGUAAAAACAUGUACUGGUACCAGCAGAAGCCAGGGAGCGCUCCCCGGUAUUUUCUGUACUACUACUCAGACUCAGACAAGGAGCUGGGACCUGGGGUCCCCAGUCGAGUCUCUGGAUCCAAAGACGCCUCGACCAACACAGCGCAUCUGCUCAUCUCGGGGCUACAGCCUGAGGACGAGGCUGACUAUUACUGCGUUACAGAUCAUGGCAGUGGGAGCAGCUUUCGUUACACACAGUGUCUCAGAUGA